rnacentral:rRNA from 1 species
GAUGAACGCUGGCGGCGUGCCUAAUACAUGCAAGUCGAGCGAACAGACGAGGAGCUUGCUCCUCUGACGUUAGCGGCGGACGGGUGAGUAACACGUGGAUAACCUACCUAUAAGACUGGGAUAACUUCGGGAAACCGGAGCUAAUACCGGAUAAUAUAUUGAACCGCAUGGUUCAAUAGUGAAAGCCGGUUUUGCUGUCACUUCUAGAUGGCUCCGCGCCGGUUUAGCUAGUUGGUACGGUAACGGCUUACCAAGGCGACGAUGCGUAGCCGACCUGAGAGGGUGAACGGCCACACUGGAACUGAACCGCGGUCCAGACUCCUACGGGAGGCAGAAGUAGGGAAUCUUCCGCAAUGGGCGAAAGCCUGACGGAGCGACGCCGCGUGAGUGAUGAAGGUCUUCGGAUCGUAAAACUCUGUUAUUAGGGAAGAACAAAUGUGUAAGUAACUAUGCACGUCGUGACGGUACCUAAUCAGAAAGCCACGGCUAACUACGUG